AAGCCAGCUAUUGAAUCUGCUUAUCUGUAUGUGUUUGUGCAGAAAUUUAGAAAAUGUUGGCAAUAGUAAUGCCAUGGUACGAGCCUUAAGGACAUGAUAUCACAGUCAUUAAGGUCCCUGAAAAUGGCUACACAU
ensembl:snoRNA small nucleolar RNA, H/ACA box 33